GGGAUGGCUCAGUGGUUAAGAGCACUGGCUGCUCAUCUAGAUGACCUGGGUUCAAUUCCCAGCACCCA
rnacentral:tRNA from 1 species